rnacentral:rRNA from 1 species
GAUGAACGCUGGCGGCGUGCCUAAUACAUGCAAGUCGAGCGAACAGACGAGGAGCUUGCUCCUCUGACGUUAGCGGCGGACGGGUGAGUAACACGUGGAUAACCUACCUAUAAGACUGGGAUAACUUCGGGAAACCGGAGCUAAUACCGGAUAAUAUAUUUAACCGCAUGGUUCAAUAGUGAAAGACGGUUUUGCUGUCACUUAUAGAUGUAUCCGCGCCGCAUUAGCUAGUUGGUAAGGUAACGGCUUCCCAAGGCAACGAAGCGUACCCGACCUGAGAGGGUGAGCGGCCACACAGGAAGAGACACGCGGCACAAGCUCCCAGGGGGGAGAAGGAGGGGAAAGUAGCCGAAAGGGGCAAAAGCCAAAGAGAAAAACCGCGCGAGGGAAAAAGGGGGUUGGGGAGCAAAAAACUGUUGGAAUAGGAAAAAAAAAAUGGGAAAGGAAAGAUCCACGUGUGAAGGGAACUUAAGAAAAAAGCAAGGCUAAAUAAGGG